GGGAUAUUUUGGAGACAAGGAUGGGGCUCCAGUGCUUCCCCUAAGGACUGCUAGUCUCUCUCCUACAUGUCUCUUCCAUUAUCUCUGCUUGCUCUCCAGCAUUCAGGAUCUCAAAAUGGUGGCUGCUAAAUCCUCAACCACAUGAUCUCUGGGGUCCAUGUACCCACAGACCAACUCCAUCUCAGCAGGAUCACUGUGUGUGGUUCGGCAGUUUGGGCCUAAGAGAGCCCAGUUGGGCCAAGAGGGCAGAAUGGGCUUUCCAAGGCGGGAACUAUGAGCAAAGGGUUUGUUUAUGGAAAUCCAAAAAGACAGUUAAGGAGGCUGGCCAGAGGCCCCCUCUCAUCUCCUUCUGGAAGCUUUACUCCCAGGAGCCCCUUCUCCUUCAAG
rnacentral:lncRNA from 1 species